rnacentral:rRNA from 1 species
CUGCCGGCGACCGGCGCACGGGUGAGUAACACGUAUGGAACCUGCCCGCAGCAGGGGGAUAAGCGGAAGAAAUUCCGUCUAAUACCGCGUAACAACGUUGGGAGGCAUCUCCCNGAUGUUUAAAGAUUUAUCGGCUGCGGAUGGCCAUGCGGCGCAUUAGCUAGUCGGCGGGGUAACGGCCCACCGAGGCGACGAUGCGUAGGGGUUCUGAGAGGAAGGUCCCCCACACUGGUACUGAGACACGGACCAGACUCCUACGGGAGGCAGCAGUGAGGAAUAUUGGUCAAUGGCCGAGAGGCUGAACCAGCCAAGUCGCGUGAGGGAAGACGGCCCUACGGGUUGUAAACCUCUUUUGUCGGGGAGCAAAGCGAACCACGUGUGGUUCAUUGAGAGUACCCGAAGAAAAAGCAUCGGCUAACUCCGUGCCAGCAGCCGCGGUAAUACGGAGGAUGCGAGCGUUAUCCGGAUUUAUUGGGUUUAAAGGGUGCGCAGGCGGAGGUGCAAGUCAGCGGUCAAAUUGCGGGGCUCAACCCCGUACUGCCGUUGAAACUGCAUCCCUUGAGUGCGCGAGAAGUAUGCGGAAUGCGUGGUGUAGCGGUGAAAUGCAUAGAUAUCACGCAGAACUCCGAUUGCGAAGGCAGCAUACCGGCGCGCAACUGACGCUCAUGCACGAAAGCGUGGGUAUCGAACAGGAUUAGAUACCCUGGUAGUCCACGCAGUAAACGAUGAACACUAACUGUUCGGCCAGAAUGAUGGCUGAGUGGUACAGCGAAAGCGUUAAGUGUUCCACCUGGGGAGUACGCCGGCAACGGUGAAACUCAAAGGAAUUGACGGGGGCCCGCACAAGCGGAGGAACAUGUGGUUUAAUUCGAUGAUACGCGAGGAACCUUACCCGGGCUCAAACGACACAGGAAUACUUUUGAAAGGAGGUAGCCCUACGGGGUCUGUGUCGAGGUGCUGCAUGGUUGUCGUCAGCUCGUGCCGUGAGGUGUCGGCUUAAGUGCCAUAACGAGCGCAACCCCUAUCGCCAGUUACCAUCAAGUAAAGUUGGGGACUCUGGCGAGACUGCCGGCGCAAGCUGAGAGGAAGGCGGGGAUGACGUCAAAUCAGCACGGCCCUUACGUCCGGGGCGACACACGUGUUACAAUGGCAGGUACAGAGAGAAGCCAGGUGGCGACACCGCGCGGAACUCGAAAGCCUGUCUCAGUUCGGAUCGGAGUCUGCAACCCGACUCCGUGAAGCUGGAUUCGCUAGUAAUCGCGCAUCAGCCAUGGCGCGGU